rnacentral:rRNA from 1 species
AGUUGCGAAGGCGGCUCUCUGGACUGUAACUGACGCUGAGGCACGAAAGCGUGGGGAGCAAACAGGAUUAGAUACCCUGGUAGUCCACGCUGUAAACGAUGAGUACUAGGUGUCGGGGGUUACCCCCUUCGGUGCCGCAGCUAACGCAUUAAGUACUCCGCCUGGGAAGUACGCUCGCAAGAGUGAAACUCAAAGGAAUGGACGGGGACCCGCACAAGUAGCGGAGCAUGUGGUUUAAUUCGAAGCAACGCGAAGAACCUUACCUAAGCUUGACAUCCCAAUGACAUCUCCUUAAUCGGAGAGUUCCCUUCGGGGACAUUGGUGACAGGUGGUGCAUGGUUGUCGUCAGCUCGUGUCGUGAGAUGUUGGGUUAAGUCCCGCAACGAGCGCAACCCUUGUCUUUAGUUGCCAUCAUUAAGUUGGGCAC